AAACUGAUGAUCCAAUGGGUGAAAUGAGAGAGUAACGCCUCGAAGCUCCCACCCUGAGACUCCGGCUGGCGGUGGAAGUGGAAACACUGAUCGUCAGAAGUCCGGUGAAGUCGGCUGACCGCGGCCGUAUUGCUUUAUGUUAUUAUAUAUGAAGCAACGAAACCUGUCCAGAGGUGGAUGGCGCCGCUUACAGGUCGGGGGCCUAGAA
rnacentral:ncRNA from 1 species